rnacentral:lncRNA from 10 species
GUCCCAGCUACUCAGGAGGCUGAGACGGGAGGCUCGCCUGAGCUCUGGAGGUGGAGGCUGCAGUGAGCUCAGAUUGCACCACCGCACAACAGCCUGGGCAGCGGAGCCAGAGUCUGUCCCAAAAAAAUAAGAAGUUUUAUAUUAUGUGUAAUUUUAUAUUUCUGCUAUAUUAUCGAAAAAUUGGGGGUGUGCAGUUUCUUUAUAACAGUUUAUUAUACUUGGAUAUUUUUUAAAUCAUAGAAGAGUUGGAAUACAAGUACAAGGAAAACUCCCCAGUGUUCACUACCAAAAUGUGCCAGCUGUUUUCAUUUGUUCCAUUUGUUUAAUACUCUCGAACCAAAUUCACCUACUAUUUACGUUUUGCUCCAUUUUUGAAUCAUUCUCUCUGUAAAUAUAAACAUAAUGGAUUUUUUUCCUAAACCAUUUGAGACGCUGGAGACACCUAAACACUUUGCUGUGUAUUUACUCUUAGGAACCACACCGUAGAAUGGUCAAAAUCCGGACCCAGCCCACA